rnacentral:rRNA from 1 species
UACGUAGGUGGCAAGCGUUGUCCGGAAUUACUGGGCGUAAAGCGCGUGUAGGCGGCAGGGCAAGUCUGGUGUGAAAGCCCGGGGCUCAACCCCGGAAGUGCAUUGGAAACUGCUCUGCUUGAGUACCGGAGAGGAAGGGGGAAUUCCCGGUGUAGCGGUGAAAUGCGUAGAUAUCGGGAGGAAUACCAGUGGCGAAGGCGCCCUUCUGGACGGUUACUGACGCUGAGACGCGAAAGCGUGGGGAGCAAACAGG